CCUACGGGAGGCAGCAGUGAGGAAUAUUGGUCAAUGGGCGGGAGCCUGAACCAGCCAAGUCGCGUGAGGGAAGACGGUCCUAUGGAUUGUAACCCUCUUUAGGCGGGGAGCAAUGCCGGGCACGCGUGCACGGAGGGAGAGUACCCGCAGAAUAAGCAUCGGCUAACUCCGUGCCAGCAGCCGCGGUAAUACGGAGGAUGCGAGCGUUAUCCGGAUUUAUUGGGUUUAAAGGGUGCUUAGGCGGAUUUUUAAGUCAGCGGUAAAAUGUCCGGGCUCAACCCGGGCCGGCCGUUGAAACUGGGGAUCUUGAGUGGGCGAGAAGUAUGCGGAAUGCGUGGUGUAGCGGUGAAAUGCAUAGAUAUCACGCAGAACUCCGAUUGCGAAGGCAGCAUACCGGCGCCCGACUGACGCUGAGGCACGAAAGCGUGGGUAGCAAACAGGAUUAGAUACCCGUGUAGUC
rnacentral:rRNA from 1 species